rnacentral:lncRNA from 1 species
UUUUUACCUAUUUUGCCUUAUUUUCCCCAUUCUAUUUUUCCUUUUUUUUAGCUUUUCUUAACUUUCUUGCCUUUUUACCUAUCUUGCCCUUUUUGCCUAUCUUGCCUUUUUUGCCUCUUCUUUUGCUCCUCUCUUGCCUCCUUUUUUAUUUUUUUUAUUUUUUUUAUUUUGUUACAUACAAGUAUAAAUUUUACGCACGUAUGUUUUUUUUUUUUUUUUUUAAAAAUGCAAUUAUUUCAAGUUUUCAAUUUGAUUUAAUUCGAUUUUAUUUGUCCAUAUUUUACUUUCCCAUGUUUGAUUUGCUUAUAUUUUUGCUAGCUCUUAUUUUAUUUGUUUUCAUAUUUUUUUUUUAUUUAAUCAUAUUUUUUUUUAAUUUUAUGUUAACUUUUUAAUUGAGCUAGAAAAAAUAUAAAAAAAGAAAAUGAAAAUUAAAAAAAAAAAAAAAAAACAAAAAAAAAAAAAAAUACAAUAUACAAUACAAUAUACCUAACGAAAUUACAUACAUAAAUUAUGUACAUAUAUACUUAUAUGUAUAUAUGUACGUAUAAUAUGAAUGUACAUGUUUGUGUAUAAUACACAUAUGUAGCCGUAUAAAUAUGUUCCUUCAGGGUUAUACACUCGUAAGUGAUCUGUACAUAUAAAAUCACGUAGAAGAAAGCGAAGAAAAAAUAAAAUAAAAAAUAAAAAUAAUAUUAAAAUAAAAUAAAAAAGCGCAGCAUCUAAGCUACAUUUUGUGACAAGGGUAAAACAAGUUGCCGAAAAAACUAGACAUGAAAAAAUAAAAAGGUUCAAAAAAAAAAAAAAAAAAUCAAAAGAGACCAAAAUUGGAACGAUAUAAGCAAGGGAAACGACACAAACAAAGCGACACAAACAAGCAAAACAAUAGGAAUGAAAAAAAAAAAAAAAAAAAAAAUAUAUAUAUAUAUAUAUUAAAAUUAUAGCAAUAAGAACACAACAUGGAAGACACAUUACUAAACGAUUGGAACGGAAGCGGAAGUAAUAGCAACAAUAACUAUAACAAUGUAACCAGUAGUAACGAAAACUACAGCGAUGGAGAAAAAACAUUUCACUUGAAUAAAAAACAACUUAUAAAAAAAAUAGAAAAAAGAGGUUACAAAAACUAUGACCAUAACAAAUGUACUGCUUAUAAAAUAUUCCCAUAUGGUGGGUUAUUUUAUUAUGAUAUUUUAAUUAAAGAUGUCAUAAAACUAUAUUACAGAACGGAAAACAACGAAAACAUGUAUUAUGAAAAUAUACAAGAAAUUAAGACUGACCUAUCACAUGAAUGUAAGUAUAUUUAUCUAGGUGCUGGUUUAUUAAGAAAGGAACAACAAACAAAAAAAAAUCGUGAUAAAAACAGAAUGGUUUUUAUUUUUUUUAUUAAUGAACAGUUAUUAGAAAAACUAAAAAGUAGACAAAAGCAUAAUAGGAGAAGAAAAAAAGAACAAAAAAAAUAUAUAUAUACAUAUGAUACGCAGAAAAAUAGAAAUAACACAAAUACACCAAACGGAUCGUUUUAUCAUGUACAAAGCAAGCAAUAUAUGUUUUUGCAUGAUAAAAUAAAAAACGUACAAACAUGUGAGAACAACAAUAUGUACUAUUCACAAAGUGAUAGAUACAGCCACAACGAAGCUGAAAUAAAAAGCAAAAAAAAAAAAAAAAAAAAAAAAAAAAAAAAAAAAAAAAAAAAAAAUAUAUAUAUAUAUAUGAACAGAUUAAAAGAUAUAAACAACAUUUUAAAAGCAAAAUACAAAAAUAAAAAUGCAUACAUAAAAACGAGAACCGCACUGUCAUAUGAAAAUUCAAAACAUUAUGAACCUGGCACAUGUACUGAUGUAAACAGAAAUAAAAAAUAUUUGAAUAUUGAAACGAAUUAUAAUAAUAGAGAAAGCAUUAAUGGAAGAUAUGGUAUUGUUAAUAGAAAAAAAAAAAACGUAAACUCGAGCGCAUUAGUAAAAAAUGGGAUAAAAAUGGAGGAGGACGAUGUUGGUAGUAGUGACAGCUACACAGACUCCUCUGACUAUUCGGAUUACUCCGAUUAUUCGGACAACUCGGAUUACUCCGAUUACUCGGACAACUCGGAUUACUCCGAUUACUCGGACAACUCGGAUCACUCCGAUUACUCGGACAACUCGGAUCACUCCGAUUACUCGGACUACUCUGACCAUCCCGACUAUUCCGACUAUUCCGAUCACUUCAAAACUCACCAAAACGUGUACACUGAUAAAGGAAAUAUAUUUUUGCUAAACAUAUUACACCACGAAAACAAUGUUUACUCUGUAAAAUGGAAACACAAUAAUUAUGAACAGUUUUCGAUAUUAGUUUCCCUUUGCUUUGAUGGUUAUAUGUAUAUAUGGAAAGAGCACUUGAAUUGUCAGAAUAAGUUUACAUUUAUAUCUAUCUGUAAAAUAUACAUUUUUUGUUUUCCAAAAUGGGUGCAUAAUAUAAAAUGGUGUUGGGUUAAUAAAGAAGAAAACUAUUACGAUUAUUUUUUUUUUAAUGGUAAUGUUGUUGGUGGUAAUACAGCAUAUAAUACAAAUGGUAUGAUGAAUGCUAACGGUAGAAUUAUUGAUAGUAUAAAGUUUUCAAAAAAUGAGUAUCUAAUUAUAUAUGGUUCAAAAAACGAUGCCAAAAAAGAAAGUUGUUAUAAUAAUUGUUUAUAUAAAAAAAAGAAUAAAAUAAAAAAUUGCAUAUAUCAUAACGAAUUUAAUAAUGAUAACAUUUCAUAUGAAUCUUAUAAUUUUUUUUCCGUUUAUGCUAUUUUUAAUAUAUAUAAUCAUAAUAUAUAUAUAAAAAACAUUUUAAAUUAUGAAAACAUACCAAUUCAUAUUAACUUUCAGUAUAUUAUUAAUGCUAAGAUUAAUUAUAAACUUUUAAAUAAAUCUUUGAUUCCUAUUUACACAGACGAUACAUACUACCCUCAUAAUAUAUAUAAUAUAAAAUAUGGAACAUGGAAAGUUAAAAAAAUUGUUAGGAGUAAGAAAUAUAUAUGUUUGCAGGAUGAUGUUAUUCGUAGUGCUGACCUAAGUAGUAGCGACUUAAGUAGCACCGACUUAAGUAGCACCGACAAUAAUGAUAGAUGCACACGACAUUUUUAUAAUAAUAUACCUACUUAUGCGAACAAAAGUAAAUACGAAUACGUACAUUCUACAUAUUCUACAUAUUUGAUAGAUUCUUCUGCUGAUUUAGAUCUUUCUAGAAUGUCCGAAGAAUUAUCUUUCGGAAAAGUAAAUACAAGAAAAUGUAAUAAUCAAUAUGACGAUGGUAGCACUUGUAGUUGUAGAUGCAGUUCCAGUUCCAGUUGUAGAUGCAGUUACAGUUCCAGUUACAGUUCCAGUUCCAGUUCCAGUUGCAGCUGCAGUUCCAGUUGCAACUGUAACGAUAAAGCAAAAAAAAAACAAUUUUUGUUGUUUCAAAAACUAGUGAGUACUGUUAACAGCUUAAUGCCUCCAUUUUCGAUUAAAAUUUCGACUUAUAACAAUGAUUUUUAUAAAAUAUAUAUCAGACCAAGUGAUAUUUGGGUUAAAAAACGAAAAAGUAUUAAUGUUAGAUAUAUUUUGGAUUAUAAAAAUGCCUCUAGCAGUUUUAAUUUAGGUCGAAAUAAAUUUAUUAAAAAAAAAAAAAAUGAACAGUCAUUUUAUGAUAUUAGUUUUUGUACUAGCCAUAAUUUUAUUAUUUUAGUUAACAACCUGAACAAUAAAUUAUUUUUUUAUGAUUUUUUUACCCAAUGUGAUAAAAAAGAAAAAAAAAAAAAAAAGAAAAAAAAAAAAAGAAAAAAAAAGGAUCAAACAUGGUACAUUUAUAACAAAAGUAGUAAGAACCUUAGCCAAAUUAAAUAUCCCAAUGAUGGAACUAUACAAAAUUAUGUCAUAAAUAAUUUAAAAAACUUAAGUGAUAAGAAUAGAUUAGUAAGCAAUAAAAAAAAAAACGAAUUAUUUUUGGAAAAAAUGAACUCGGUAGCAUGUAGCAAUCUACAAUCUACUACCCACUUAGAUGGUAAAAAUGUCGACCAAUAUAUAAAAAUAAUGAAUAAAGAUGGAUUAUUAUUUAAUUGUAAUUUGUUUAAUAAAAUGUUUUAUCCCAACAGAAAAAAAAAUAAAACAUUUUCCAUGAUUUGCUGUUUAAAUAGUAUAUAUAUCGAUAAAUAUUAUUUGUUAAGUUAUAAAGAAAAUAAUUUUUUAAAAAAAAAAAAACAUUUUAUCUAUAGUUACACACAUAAAAUAUGUGAUUAUUACGAUCAUACAAAAAAAACACUACAUGUCAAAACAAGUGAUUUUAUAAAACAAAAAACUGUCAUACCUUUAGUUUAUAAAAGUAAUAUAAUCCAAUCCUUUGAUUCUUUUUUUUUGUUGUUAUGUAUUGACAAAGAAAAAAAACACAUAUUUGUGCUGAAAUCGGAAAGAGUUAACAUAGUACAUAAUUUAAAAAUGGUUUGUAUAUUUGAAGAAGAUUACAUAUGUAAUGAUUUUAAUGCAUAUGCUGAUAGUACAUACCACCACGGCCACUACCACCAUAAUGACGUAAAAAAUUGCAUUAGCAAAAGCCAAAGUACCCCAUAUGUUUCCACUUUUUCAAACCCAAACGAAAAAUAUAGUCAUAAAAAAAAACACAGCAACACCAACCAAUGUGACAAUAACAAAACAAGUAUCGAAAAUAACAAUUUUAUAAAUAAAGUAAAACAUGAUAUAACACUAAUUGAAAAAAAAAAAAAAUUUAAAAUAAUUGAUUACAAAAUAAAAAAUUUUUAUUUAUUUAAUAAAAAUAAUAGUGAACAACAACUUGUAUUAAUCAUUAAAUAUAGUU